rnacentral:rRNA from 1 species
AUUGAACGCUGGCGGCAGGCCUAACACAUGCAAGUCGAACGGUAACAGAAAGCAGCUUGCUGCUUUGCUGACGAGUGGCGGACGGGUGAGUAAUGUCUGGGAAACUGCCUGAUGGAGGGGGAUAACUACUGGAAACGGUAGCUAAUACCGCAUAACGUCGCAAGACCAUAGAGGGGGACCUUCGGGCCUCUUGCCAUCGGAUGUGCCCAGAUGGGAUUAGCUAGUAGGUGGGGUAAUGGCUCACCUAGGCGACGAUCCCUAGCUGGUCUGAGAGGAUGACCAGCCACACUGGAACUGAGACACGGUCCAGACUCCUACGGGAGGCAGCAGUGGGGAAUAUUGCACAAUGGGCGCAAGCCUGAUGCAGCCAUGCCGCGUGUAUGAAGAAGGCCUUCGGGUUGUAAAGUACUUUCAGCGAGGAGGAAGGUGUUGUGGUUAAUAACCACAGCAAUUGACGUUACUCGCAGAAGAAGCACCGGCUAACUCCGUGCCAGCAGCCGCGGUAA